UUCCUGUGAUGACUAAUUUUAUGCGCCAACUUGCCUGGGCCAUGAAGCGCCCAGGAA
rnacentral:snoRNA from 1 species